CCUACGGGGGGCAGCAGUGGGGAAUAUUGCACAAUGGGGGAAACCCUGAUGCAGCGAUGCCGCGUGGAGGAAGAAGGUUUUCGGAUUGUAAACUCCUUUUAUCAGGGACGAUAAUGACGGUACCUGAAGAAAAAGCUCCGGCUAACUACGGGCCAGCCGCCGCGGUAAUACGUAGGGAGCGAGCGUUGUCCGGAAUUACUGGGUGUAAAGGGAGCGUAGGCGGGACGGUAAGUCAGAUGUGAAAGCCGAGGGCUCAACUUUCAGGGUGCAUUUGAAACUGCUGAUCUUGAGUGAAGAAGAGGAAAGCGGAAUUCCAAGUGUAGCGGUGAAAUGCGUAGAGAUUAGGAGGAACAUCAGUGGCGAAGGCGACUUACUGGUCUUUAACUGACGCUGAGGCGCGAAAGCGUGGGGAGCAAACAGGAUUAGAUACCCCUGUAGUC
rnacentral:rRNA from 1 species